UUACGUUCAUAUCACGUUGAAACACCGGGUUCCCAUACGAUCACCGAAGUUAAGCAACGUUGAGGUUGGUCAAUACCUAGAUGGGUGUCCGCUUGGAAAUACCAGGUGCUGUAAU